rnacentral:rRNA from 1 species
AAACCGUUCAGGGGUAAACCUAAGAAACCCAAAAGAUCGAACGGGGAGAUUCAUCGUCAGCGGCAUCGGCUUCGCGUCGGUGGGCGAUGUCUCGCGGGCCUCGCGCUCGCGGACACGCUGCCGUGCGCGCAUGUCCGACGUCGUCGUCGUGCACUUCUCCCCUAGUAGGACGUCGCGACCCGCUGGGUGUCGGUCUACGGCACGGGUGCGGUGCCUGUCGCGUCGCCGGUAAAACGGCACGCGGCAAACUCCCGAUACGCCCGACCGGCUGCCCGGCGGUACUCGCACGGUAUAAGGCCGCAAAGAAGCGCGCCCCCGCGGGCGCGUGGUUUGCGUCAAGCCCGUCGCAAGCGCGCUCCACGGUACCCGGAGGUUUACGGACCUAGCGCCGUCCCCGGUCCUGGGCCGCUGUUGGCCGACGGUGAUCCUUUGACUGGCCUUGCGCGCGCGGGGAAUAAACCCCGCGCGCGAUUACCGGUCGGCGACGCUACUGCUUUGGGUACUCUUAGGA